rnacentral:lncRNA from 1 species
CUCUCCACCCCCUCCCGUCGGUCCUCGCCCCCACCAUCCUCUACGCCGCCAGUUUGUUAAAUUAAUGCAGUAAGAAAGUCUGAAGAUCUGAGGGAGUCUGGCCAGAAGAAGAUGGGCGAGCUUAGAAAUUGGAGAUGCCUGUGAAAGCUUGGGUUCUUGAGCCCUGCUGGGAAGCCAUGGACCCCAGCAGCCCCUGAAAGUUGUGGUGGGCUCUCUUGCUCCUGCAGCCCCAAGCAAUGGGACACCUUUCUUGCAGCGAUCCCAACUUAUUCGUCGGGGACCAGAGAACACGGACUGCAAGGCGGCAGCAGACAGGAACGGAGGCAGGGGAACGAGAUUCCGGGACUCGGUCGCGAUGCGCCAGCCUGGCACACUCUCCGACAUCUAACUGAAGCCAGCACCGUCACCUGCUCCACCCCCCCCCCCAACCCCUAAAACCCCUCGGGCCAGCCCAGGGCCAGAAAGAAGAUGCCAGCCGGGUCUAAGGGUCUGAGGCCAGGGCUCUGAUCCCCACGGAUUUCUUCCUUUCAUGGAGCUGGCCAUCUCGACAGGAAAAUAAGGGUAAAAAUAAAGAAGAAGAAGAGU